CAACGUUAGAACAUUAUCUAGAACCUGCUGAAACUGAACGAGAAGCUUUGCGCGCUCUGUGUUACGCAUGUGUUUACGCCGAUAAAGAUCAUGUAUUGAUCUUUCUUUUCUCUUAGAUGGCGGAGUAGACAACUAGGCUAAUUUACUUCAAUCAUCUGCAACGACAGAGAGUGGCAGGAUGCACGGGAAACGUUGGCGCAAACAUAUUCUGAAAUAACUAUGUGGCGCAAGAACGCUUAAAAUACAAUUGUGCCGGCUGCAUGGCAUUAUGAGUGAAUUUCCGAAAAGGCAACCUUCGUGACAUCGCUGAGACGCAUCAUUUGAGCUAAAGCUGAGUUGUGAAAGGAAAGAAAGACUGAAACUGAGAUGAAGAAAGUCGCAACAGUUAUUUUUCAGGUAGCAAGCCAUAAGCCGUCAUAAUUAUUUGGCGACCCAUGAUUUGGAGAAUGAUUGCUCACGCAGUUGUCUCCAACCUGUUAGUUCUACAGGAUACAUCGCGCAUAACACAGAGGACCACUGAGACGCACCUGAAAUAAUCCAAACCUCGAUACAGGAGUAAGGCUGACAGCAUUUUGAGAAACCGUCUCUGACUGGGGGAAAAAAAGGGAAAAGGACAAGUUUAUGGAGACAAAUAAAGGAAGACACCAAC